AAUAGAUACCCGGGUAGUCCACGCCGUAAACGAUGAGUGCUAAGUGUUAGGGGGUUUCCGCCCCUUAGUGCUGCAGCUAACGCAUUAAGCACUCCGCCUGGGGAGUACGGUCGCAAGACUGAAACUCAAAGGAAUUGACGGGGGCCCGCACAAGCGGUGGAGCAUGUGGUUUAAUUCGAAGCAACGCGAAGAACCUUACCAGGUCUUGACAUCCCAUUGACCGCUAUGGAGACAUAGCUUUCCCUUCGGGGACAGUGGUGACAGGUGGUGCAUGGUUGUCGUCAGCUCGUGUCGUGAGAUGUUGGGUUAAGUCCCGCAACGAGCGCAACCCUUGUUCUUAGUUGCCAUCAUUUAGUUGGGCACUCUAAGGAGACUGCCGGUGACAAACCGGAGGAAGGUGGGGAUGACGUCAAAUCAUCAUGCCCCUUAUGACCUGGGCUACACACGUGCUACAAUGGACGGUACAAACGGUUGCCAACCCGGCAGGGGGGAGCCUAAUCCGGAUAAAACCGUUCUCAGUUCGGAUUGUAGGCUGCAACUCGCCUAC
rnacentral:rRNA from 1 species